rnacentral:rRNA from 1 species
UACGAAGGGGGCUAGCGUUGUUCGGAAUUACUGGGCGUAAAGGGCGCGUAGGGGGCCAACUAGGUCAGACGUGAAAUCCCUCGGCUUAACCGGGGAACUGCGUCUGAUACUGGAUGGCUUGAGUUUGGGAGAGGGACGCGGAAUUCCAGGUGUAGCGGUGAAAUGCGUAGAUAUCUGGAGGAACACCGGUGGCGAAGGCGGCGUCCUGGACCAAUACUGACACUGAAACGCGAAAGCCAGGGGAGCAAACGGG